rnacentral:tRNA from 1 species
UCCCUGGUGGCCUAGUGGUAAAGGGUUUGGUGUUGUCGCUGCUGUGGCCCAGGUUCAAUCCCUGGCCUAGGAA